rnacentral:sRNA from 1 species
AUCAUCUGUUAGGCAAGAUAGCAGUCACAAAGAACUAUUGGCCUUUUAAAAUAUAGAAUUUUUAAUGAGAAACUUUGAAUAAUAGAGAUUGAACAUGCGAGAACAGCUACCUAGUGUGUGUUGCAUUAUUAACCCCUAGUUUGUAGUGUAUUCUGGAGUCAAGUUGACCUACAUAGAAGAGAAGGAACUGGAAGUGCAUGUCUGUGUUCUGGCUCCGAUUGGGAAAAGCUGCUUAACCACUGUUACACUUCCAGGGGCUCCCCGCUCAGUCCCCAGUCAUCUAUUGACAGUGAGCUGAGUACUUCAGAAUUGGAGGAUGAUUCUAUCUCCAUGGGAUAUAAAUUACAGGACCUCACUGAUGUUCAGAUUAUGGCUCGUCUGCAAGAAGAAAGUAUGUGUUCUUUCUAAACUAGCAAAAUGAGGCUUCCACUUGGAAUAUACAGGCAGAGGGGGAGGUUCAGGCAUUUCUCUCCAGGUCUCAGGCAAGAUUAUGCUUCUACUUCAGCAUCUGUAUCAAGACAUAGUUCCAGUGUGUCAUUGAGUUCAGGAAAAAAAGGGACAUGUAGUGAUCAAGAAUAUGACCGAUACAGUCUGGAGGAUGAAGAGGAAUUUGAUCAUUUGCCACCACCUCAGCCUCGUCUUCCAAGAUGUUCCCCUUUCCAAAGAGGAAUUCCCCAUUCACAGACUUUCUCCAGCAUUCGGGAGUGUAGGAGGAGCCCCAGUUCCCAGUAUUUUCCUUCAAAUAAUUACCAGCAGCAACAGUAUUAUU